GAUGAACGCUGGCGGCGUGCUUAACACAUGCAAGUCGAACGGGAUCCCAGGAGCUUGCUCCUGGGUGAGAGUGGCGAACGGGUGAGUAAUGCGUGACCGACCUGCCCCAUACACCGGAAUAGCUCCUGGAAACGGGUGGUAAUGCCGGAUGCUCCAGUUGACCGCAUGGUCCUCUGGGAAAGCUUUUGCGGUAUGGGAUGGGGUCGCGUCCUAUCAGCUUGAUGGCGGGGUAACGGCCCACCAUGGCUUCGACGGGUAGCCGGCCUGAGAGGGCGACCGGCCACAUUGGGACUGAGAUACGGCCCAGACUCCUACGGGAGGCAGCAGUGGGGAAUAUUGCACAAUGGGCGCAAGCCUGAUGCAGCGACGCCGCGUGCGGGAUGACGGCCUUCGGGUUGUAAACCGCUUUUGACUGGGAGCAAGCCCUUCGGGGUGAGUGUACCUUUCGAAUA
rnacentral:rRNA from 1 species